rnacentral:rRNA from 1 species
UAAUACGUAGGGUGCAAGCGUUAAUCGGAAUUAUUGGGCGUAAAGGGUGCGCAGGCGGUUGUAUAAGUCAGAUGUGAAAUCCCUGGGCUUAACCUAGGAAUUGCGUUUGAAACUAUAUGACUAGAGUGUGACAGAGGGGAGUGGAAUUCCAUGUGUAGCAGUGAAAUGCGUAGAGAUGUGGAAGAACACCGAUGGCGAAGGCAGCUCCCUGGGUUAACACUGACGCUCAUGCACGAAAGCGUGGGGAGCAAACAGGAUUAGAUACCCUGGUAGUCC